rnacentral:tRNA from 1 species
GCACUGGUGAGUCAAUAGUAGAAUUCUUGCCUUCCAAGCAAUAGACCUGGGUUCGAUUCCCAGCCAAUGCA